UCAAAGAUGAUACUCCUCUUCCCAGCCCCCACUUCUUUUCCUUUUUUUUUUCUGCUUUGAACAUAAGAUGACUUUUAUUCCUCUGUCCCUCUUCAGAAAUGGCUGAUCCCCUAGUAUGCAGAAAUUAUUGAAGGACCCCCUCAAUUCUUUGAAAAACUGCAAUAUUAUUUUCAAUUUUGCCAUUUACUCCACCACAGCUCAAUCAUUUCAAGGUCUCCUUAUUUGCAUGGAAGGAAUGGCUGAAAGUAAUUAAUAAGGACUCUUUGAAAACUUUUGAUGACAAGUUUGUUGAGAAAUAUAAAUAUGGAAGCUGCUAUCAUUUAUUUUUCUAAAAAUCAUUGCCAUGAAAAGAGUGAAAAACCUCAUUUUUCCCCAGAAACUUUGCUUUUAGAUUGAAAAAUGAAAAUUGAUUACAAGGCAAGUCAACAUGAACACAGUGUGUACCAGAUGAGGUUUCCACAUGACAACAGAAGAGGCAGAUUAGGGAGAAAUAAGGGACAGACAUCAAAGUUUAAACUGCAAAGCCUUUUGGGGUUAUCUGAAAACAAUGUCAAAUUUUAUUUUGUGACUCUGGAAAAAUGGUAGCUGAUAAAUAUAAUUUACUGUCACUACUUAAGUCAGUUGUGAUGAUCAAGAUGUUUCCUUAUUCUUUAUUCUGGGACUUAUGGGCAAGCAAGAUCAUCUGCAGGGUAAAGAACUGCACCACGAGUGUUAGGAGACCAGGUUCUACUCCUGUGUCUGCCACACUGACGAUGUAACUGCAGGAGGACUCCAAACCUCUGAGUCUCACCAGCCUUAGAGUAGAAAGGUGUAGGAAGACCACAGCACUAGGAAAACACAUGGGUUACUGAAAAAAAAAAGUCACCAUCUUCUAUUGCUUUCCCAGGCCAUCAGCAGAGAGCUGGAUUGGAAGUGGAGCAACUGGAACUGAAACCAGCACCAGUAUGGAAUGCCAGCACUGCAGACGGUGGCUUUACCCACUACACCACAGCACCAACCCCUCCCUCUGGAGAAGGAGAUAUUGGACAAGAUGAAUAAUGACCUAUAAAGCCAUCAGAAGAGCCACAUCUGAUCUCAUCCCCAAGACUAUGUACUCUGCAAUUCAUGUAUCAGAUAGAAUUCAUAGCCUAGGAUUUUGCCAAGAGAGAAAAAGUCAAAGGUGGACUCUCAGGGAGCUGGAUCAGAAGUGGAGCAGCCAGAACUUCAACUGGCACUCAUAACAGAUGCUGAUAUCUCAAGUGGUGGCUUAACCUGGAAUACCAUAACACUAGCCCCUAUGUUUCUGAUAUUCAAGGUGGGUAUUACUUUGUGUGUGUGGGGGGCAUGCUUGUUGUGGCAAUCACGGAUGCAAAUCUAUGACCAUUUUAUUCUGUGAUAUCUAUUAGCAUGUUAUGUCUAUGUCAGAUCACGUAAUGAAAAUCAUCAUCACUUUACUUUGUUUGACUUGUGAAAACCUCAUAACACACCAAGCUUCCUCCAAAUAUUUGUUGCAUAUAUUGAUAUUCAUUUCACUGAGCUUGAAGGUUUACUGAUCUAGAAUCUCUUUCUAAAGGGAAGUAUGGACAGAGGCAACAUCUAAAGAUCAAAUCAGAGAAUGACUUCUUAAUAGCUGUUAAUCAGUGAACAUAGGAUCCGGCCUGCUGGAAAAAGACAUUGAAGAGGGAGGAAAAUAUAGAGUCAGGGGCCCCAGAACAACACCAAAGACAAACUCUAUGUUGUUUUUGUCUGAUAUCGACCAUGAUCUAUUUGUAACAUGGCCUUAACCUGAGAACAACUAAAUAUGCAAAGACAACAUCAUGAAUUGUUAAAUUUUAUGAUUUAUAUAUAUAUAUGUGUGUGUGUGUGUGUAUUUUAUAGCACAUUCUAUGGUUUGAAUUGUUUUCCAUACCACGUGCAAUGAAACUUUAAGGUUUGAACCACAUAAUGUGAUCUUAUUUGGAUAUAUGUCACUGGAGAUAUGAUUAGUUAAAUUAAAAUGAAGUAAUAUUGGAGUGAAAUGGUCCUCUAGUCCAGUAUGACUAAAAACCAUGCCAUUCAAAAAA